CGGCAUGCUUAACACAUGCAAGUCGAACGUGAAGCGACCUUCGGGUCGUGGAAAGUGGCGGACGGGUGAGUAACGCGUAGGAAUUUACCUAAAGGUACGGAACAACUAAUGGAAACGUUAGCUAAUACCGUAUGAUGCCUCCGGGCCAAGGAUUUAUCGCCUUUAGAUGAGCCUGCGUCGGAUUAGGUAGUUGGUGGGGUAAAAGCCUACCAAGCCGACGAUCCGUAGCUGGUCUGAGAGGAUGAUCAGCCACACUGGGACUGAGACACGGCCCAGACUCC
rnacentral:rRNA from 1 species